AGACUAGCGGUAGGGGGGGUCUGGUGAAAUAGACAGGCUGUUAGAGGGGUCCUGGUGAAUAGACCAGGCUUGUAGAGGGGGUCUGUUGAAUAGACUAGGCUGUAGAUAGGGGAGGCUGGUGAAUAGACCAGGCUGUAGAGGGGGUCUGGUGAAAGACAGGCUGUUAGAGGGGGUCUGGGUGAAUUGAAGAACUUUGUUCACCAGGGCAUCCGGGCUCCAUUAAUGUCAUGAGAUACACCUAAAUGCCACCCUUGACCCUCUUCCCUAUACAGUGCACUACUAUAGACCCUCUUCCCUAUACAGUGCACUACUAUAGACCCUCUUCCCUAUAUAGUGGUACUGACUAUAGACACCUAUUCCUAUCAUAGUGGUACUAACUAUAGACCCUCUUCCCUAAAGUGGUACACAUAGACCCUACUUCCCUACAUAGGGCACUACUAUAGACCCUCUUCCUCCCUAUAUAGUGGUACUCUAUAGACCCUAUUCCCUAUAUAGUGGUACUACUAUAGACCCUCUUCCCUAUACAGUGCACUACUAUAGACCCCUUCCUUUACGUUCACUACUAUAGACCCUAUUCCCUAUAUAGUGCACUACUAUAGACCCUUCCCUAUAAGUCACACUUAACCCUCU
rnacentral:lncRNA from 1 species